CCCGCACUGCGCCAUCAAAUGAGUCAAGCGGAAGGACCGGUACCCCUCCGGGAAAACCAGGCACUAACACACGGUGCACCCAACUGAAUUUAAACUCGGGAACAGUGUAGGCAGUGUCAACAAAGCGCGGUGCUGGGUCCCGAGCGUCCAAAGGUCCCUGCCAGCUCCCAGACGCGGCCAAAUCCACAGGAUUCCAAAAGUACAGACGGGGUUUCACCGUAUUAGCCAGGAUGGUCUCAAUCUUCUAACCUCGUGAUCUGCCCACCUCGGCCUCGCAAAGCGCUGGGAUUACAGGCGUGAGCCUCCGCGACCGGCCAGAACUAGCUCUUCUUAAGGAUGUGACAGUGAUCUGCACUAGAGCUUCAGGCAGCUAAGGUAGCCAAGAAAUAUUCACAUGAAGGG
rnacentral:lncRNA from 10 species